GUAAAGAUUUAUACUUGGGCGCACACAUGCACCGAAAUUCUUUCUCAUAUGACAUCUGCUGUAUUCUAUAUAUACCAGUAUUGAUAUUUUUCUUUGAAUUAUUAUUAUAAUAUGAAAAAGAAUUCGGUGCAUGUAUGCGCCCAAGUAAUCUUUUU